rnacentral:rRNA from 1 species
UACGUAGGGGGCAAGCGUUGUCCGGAAUCAUUGGGCGUAAAGAGCGUGUAGGCGGCUCGAUAAGUCCGCUGUGAAAGUCCAGGGCUCAACCCUGGAAGGCCGGUGGAAACUGUCGGGCUAGAGUCCGGAAGAGGAGAGUGGAAUUCCUGGUGUAGCGGUGAAAUGCGCAGAUAUCAGGAAGAACACCCGUGGCGAAGGCGGCUCUCUGGGCAGAAACUGACGCUGAGGAGCGAAAGCGUGGGGAGCGAACAGG